UUAUAAAGGAGUUUGACUUGUUGCCA
rnacentral:piRNA from 1 species